GACGAACGCUGGCGGCGUGCUUAACACAUGCAAGUCGAACGGAAAGGCCCUGCUUUUGUGGGGUGCUCGAGUGGCGAACGGGUGAGUAACACGUGAGUAACCUGCCCUUGACUUUGGGAUAACUUCAGGAAACUGGGGCUAAUACCGGAUAGGAGCUCCUGCUGCAUGGUGGGGGUUGGAAAGUUUCGGCGGUUGGGGAUGGACUCGCGGCUUAUCAGCUUGUUGGUGGGGUAGUGGCUUACCAAGGCUUUGACGGGUAGCCGGCCUGAGAGGGUGACCGGCCACAUUGGGACUGAGAUACGGCCCAGACUCCUACGGGAGGCAGCAGUGGGGAAUAUUGCACAAUGGGCGGAAGCCUGAUGCGGCAACGCCGCGUGCGGGAUGACGGCCUUCGGGUUGUGAACCGCUUUCGCCUGUGACGAAGCGUGAGUGACGGUAAUGGGUAAAGAAGCACCGGCUAACUACGUG
rnacentral:rRNA from 1 species